CGCAGAGACGUGGACCGCUGAGCACCAGAGAUGGCUUUCUGCCGGGCAGACUGGAUCACCCUGGGCUCCCUUUACCCAUUCUCUCCACGGACGUUGUUUGAGGGCUGCCGCCAACGUGGAUCCAGCUCCCGGAUGACAGCGCCCCACGCAGGAUGAAGCAGACAGUGAAGGAAGCUUCUGGGCUAGAGCCCGUGCUCACGAGAAACCCCUGCCGAAUCCACUCCCCGGCCUGGAGAAGCCACAGGUGGACCAGGUGCCAGGAAUUUCCUGGAGCUCGGGCAGCCGCCACCAGGUGGCAGUGUGGGGACAUCCUGCCGGGCCAGGCCGACUCGGCGGCAUGCCGAGGACUGCGGAAGGUGGCCUGUGCCCCGUGGGCAGUGGGUUGGCAGACCUCCCACACCAGGCUUCGGGCAGCAGGAGUCCCAGGUAGGACACACCGCAGUACGUGCACUCCUGGGCCUGCGUGCCCGAGCACACCUGGGACAAAGACCAGGCUCCGCCUGGCUUUCUCUCUGCACCCCAGACGCUUGAGCCUGAAACCGCCACCGCGCGUGAGGAGGCCCGGGCCACGCGGGAGGCCAGCGACCUGCUGAGGCCGCAGCUGACAACCAGCUGGCCCUGAGAGAUGAGCUUGACCCCAAGAUGCAAGCCAGCCCCCCACGCCCUGCCCAAAUCCACGAUCCAGGUCAACCCUGCUGGGGCCGGAUGCCGCUAAGUCUGGAACCACAGCCGGGGAGAGACGGCAGGAGCCCAGCGGGAGCUGGCCACCACCCCACGGGCAGCUGGGAACCCAGACGUGCGGCCGGAGAGGAGAGGUCCUCGCUGAGCCCUCUCCCUGGAAACCUCGUGGACGUCCCCUCCGCUGCACGGCACCAACACCUGUGCCCUCAUCAGCAGCACCCAGAUGCCCGCCCGAAGCCCCAGCCAUCAGCACGGCAACGCCCCCAGCGUGGAGCCAGCGUCCGUGGACUGGCCGUGUAAUCCGCGGGGCCCGGCGCGCCAGGAAACGGUGCCAAUAUGGGCCCCAAAUGGAAAGUUUCUCUUUGUCCUCUGUCCCUGUCUGCUCGUCUGCUGUAUUUAAUGCUGU